rnacentral:rRNA from 1 species
AAUUAAUAUAAUGAAAGGAAUUAAGACAAAUCAUAAUGACCCUUAUAAUAUGGGCUAUAGACGUGCUAUAAUAAAAUAAUAAAUAAAGUUAAAUAAUAUAUUAAUAAAUAAUAUAUAAUAAAUAACAUAAAAUAUUUUAAUAUUUAAUAUAUUUUUAUAUUAUAUAUAAUAUGAAUUAUUAACUGUAAUUUGUUAAUAUGAAAUAAGAAUUGUUAGUAAUACGUAAAUUAGUAUGUUACGGUGA